rnacentral:tRNA from 1 species
GGGCGAUUAGCUCAGCUGGCCAGAGCGACUCGUUUACACCGAGUAGGCCGUAGGUUCGACUCCUGCAUCGCCCA